UGAAGUAUUAAAUUGGUAAUAUGUCUUGCAAAUUUAUGUAGGUAAUUAUGUGGUUUCCCACGCGAAUUUUGAUAACAAUGCAUUCCUUUGUAAUGCAGGGUUAAAAAUAGACAUGUGUAAACAUCACUGCUAGCAGUGUAGCAGACGAUUUCUGUAUACAAGUGGCGAGUUAUUCAUGAAUCUGUUAAACUAUAUAUGUAGUAUAAUAAACACGUGGAAGAGUCUAUUAUUCAUGAUACCUGCUUACAAACAGAGUAGGGGUUAAGCAACUUUAUCAGAUUUAAUCUCGCUGAAAAGUAUUUUCUUCUAAAGUGAAGUAAUUAAACUUCCAUUUCACAUAUAUAUUAAGCAAAGUUAAAUUUUCAUGAGCACGGAUCAAGUAAUUAAGUGCGCAUGUGUGAGGAAAAUAAGUAGUUUCACUUUUCAAUAUACCACCGUUUCUUGCAGUAUGUUUGUUUUUAGUCCUGAUGGCUAAUGUAUAUGGUUUGUAUAGAAGAAUAUUGUUAAUAAAACAAUCAAAUAAAUAAAUAUAAAACAAGUUGGCUUCCUACAAAAAAAAAAUGUAGUUAUAACUUAUUGUCAUUUGUAGAAGGAUGACUGUUUUUCAGAUCUUAAUCUAUAGUUAGCCUUUCAGAUCAUAAUCUAUAGUUAGCCCAAUUGCUAAUGUCUGAUUGUAUCAGCCGGUACUGCCUUAGGAAAAAGAGUGCCAUCCUUAUCCUUUGUAUUGGUUUGUAACUGGAUUUUGAAUUUAUGAUUACUGCUUAGGGAUGAAGAGAAAGUUGCUAUUAUCUCAAUUGUGUUGGAUUGUAUUUGAUUUUGAAUUUAUGAUUAAUGUAUAUUGACUGUGUUCCGCCCAUUUGGCUAUAUGUUCGAUCGUUUCUGAUAAAAAAAUAAGAGGAAGUUAAGAAAGUUGCUGUUAUUUCCAUUGUGUUGAAUGGUAAUUGAUUUUGAAUUUAUGAUUAAUGUGUAUCGACUGUUUCGCCCAUUUGGCUACGUUCGAUCGUUUGUAAUAAAAAAAGAGAAAGUUAAGAAAGUUGCUACCCUGUAAACAUGAAGUCAUUGGGCCAACGACGAAAAACCGUCAAAGGAUAAUCGUUGUUGGGCCAAUGUUGGCCCAACAAUGAUUAAUAAGUAUUGUAAAUACAGCUGUUGGGCCAACGUUGAACCAACGUUGAAUUUCAUUCACAGAUAUCUCUGCAUUGGCCCAGUAUAGAUUUUCAGAGAAAGACUUAUACAGAGAAAACAUCGUUGGCCCAACGUUGGCCCAACGUUGGCCGAUUAAAAAUAAUAAUAUAAUAAUUAUAUAUUUUACAGGUGAAUGUUUUAUCACAAGCUCCUACAGGUAUACACGUUGUGUACGUGUAACAUGCAAUAUUUAAUUAAUAAUUAAAUACUUUUCUGCACCAAUUCGUAAUCAGUUAAAUCUGGGCUAAUUAAACCUAAAAUUUAUCUGCAGCCGUAAUGACAUUUUGAACUAUUUCAAAUCUACUACUUUGAAAAAGAAAGUUAAAAAAAAAGAAAAAAAAAACACUACUAACUCUAUAACAAAUAUCUAAUUUUAUACAUGUUUACAAUAAAUCUGUUGAGUAUUCCAGAACAUGAACUCUCGUUAACCCGGGUUAUGUAAGAAAUCCCAGAACAUGUGGUUGAUUUUGCUCUCUAGGCCAGAUUUCUAGCUGCAUAUAUGUGAAGUAAAGGAAACUGUUAUACAUGUGAUAGAUCUAGAUUUAACAAAAACCCGGUCUACCAGCUAUAAACUGGUGCUGUUCAAGAAAGUAAUAAUGGAGUGCCUAGCAUUGUGGUGCACAAGAAAAAACAAGAAGAAAAAGGAAAGCAGCAACUUCAGUGAGAAAAGAAAACAAUUAAACAGAACUUGGAUAUAUAAUGAGUUAAUAUACAGACAGUUAUUCACUUUUAAAUUAGUGGGAUUUAAUAAGUGACUGUAAAAAGAAACAUAUUUAGAUUUAUAAAAGGCUGGAAUCAAUAAUUGACAUGUUGUAGUGAUGAAAUAUUCUGUUAUAUUUCUUCAGGAAAAUUGCAAACAAACUUUAAAUAACUGUUAGAUUUCUUUUUGUUAAAGUUUAACAAAAUCACAACUAUUUGAAAAUAAAAUACUUACUAAAUAAUGUUAGUUUUAGUCUUUUUUCAGUUUCGUAACCGUUGGGAUAGCGUUGGCCCAACGCUGGACCAACCAUGAUAGACGAAAAAAUGCUGUUGGCCCAAUGGAGGGCCAACGAUAAGUGCAGGAUACCAGUUGUUGGCCCAACGGAGGGUCAACGAUAUGUGUAGGAUUCCAGUCGUUGGGCCAACGGUGUACCAACCGUUGGGCCAACGUUGCGCCAAUUAGCAAAAUGGCGUUGGGCCAACGUUGGAAAUCUUCGUUGGGCCAACGAAGAGUCUGCCGUUGGCCCAACGUUGGGCCAACGCAUGUCUGCUAUCUGGGUAUUAUCUCCAUUGUGUUGGAUGGUACUUGAAUUUGAAUUUAUGAUUAAUGUGUAUUGACUGUGUUCCGCCCAUUUGGCUAUGUUCGAUCAUUUCUAAUAAAAAAAGAGAAAGUUAAGAAAGUUGCCGUUUUCUCCGUUGUGUUGGAUGGUACUUGAUUUUGAAUUUAUGAUUAAUGUAUAUUUACUGUGUUUCGCCAAUUUGGCUAUGUUCGAUCAUUUCUAAUAAAAAAAAGAGAAAGUUAAGAAAAUUGCUAUUAUCUCUAUUGUGUUGGAUGGUACUUGAUUUUGAAUUCAUGAUUAAUGUAAAAUGACUGUGUUUCGCCCAUUUGGCUAUGUCUGAUCAUUUCAAAAAAAAAAAAAAAUGGUUGCCAAGUAUAUCCAUUGUGUUGGAUGGUAACCGGAUUUUGAAUCUAUGAUUAAUGUAUAUUGAUGAACUCUGUUUAGCCCAUUUGGCUGUGUUCGAUCAUUUCAAAAAAAAAAAAAAAAAAAAUAGGUUGCCCAUUAUAUCCAUUGUGUUGGAUGGUAACCAAAUUUUUGAAUUUUUAUUAUUGUACAUUAAGUGAUCAAUGUAUACUGAUGAACUCUGUUUAGCCCAUUUGGCUGUGUUCGAUCAUUUCAAAAAAAAAAAAAAAAAAAAAAAAUAGGUUGCCAAGUAUAUCCAUUGUGUUGGAUGGUAACCGGGUUUUCAAUCUAUGAUUAAUGUAUAUUGAUGAACUCUGUUUAGCCCAUUUGGCUAUGUUCGAUCAUUAAAAAAAAAAAAAAAAAAAAAAAGAAAAAAAAAAAGGUUGCCCAUUAUAUUCAUUGUGUUGGAUGGUAACCGGAUUUUGAUUCUAUGGUUAAUGUACAUUGAUGAACUGUGUUUAGCCCAGUUGGCUAUGUUCAAUCAUUUUUUUAAAAAGGUUUCGGAUUAUAUGCAUUGUGCUGGAUUGUAACCAGAUAUUGAAUUUAUGAUUAUUUUACAUCGAUGAACUGUGUUUAGCCCAUUUGGCUAUGUUCGAUAAUUUCAAAAAAAAAAAAAAAAAAAAGUUUGCCGAUUUUAUCCAUUGUGUUGGAUGGUAACCAGAUAUUGAAUUUAUGAUUAUUUUACAUCGAUGAACUGUGUUUAGCCCAUUUGGCUAUGUUCGAUCAUUUAAUAAUAAUAAAAAAAAUAUAUAUAUAUAAAAAAAUAGGUUGCCGAUUAUAUUCCUUUUGUUGGAUGGUAACAGGAUUUUGAUUCUAUGGUUAAUGUACAUUGAUGAACUGUGUUUAGCCCAUUUGGCUAUGUUCAAUGAUUUUUUAAAAAAGGUUUCGGAUUAUAUGCAUUGUGUUGGAUUGUAAUCGGAUUUUGAAUUUAUGAUUAAUGUAUUUUGAUGAACUUAUUUUAGCCGAUUAUAUCCAUUGUGUUGGAUGGUAACCGGAUUUUGAAUUUAUGAUAAAUGUAUAUUGAUGAACUGUGUUUAGCCCAUUUGGCUAUGUUCAAUCAUAAAAGAAUAGGUUGCCGAUUAUAUCCAUUGUGUUUGAUGGUAACCGGAUUUUGAAUUUAACAUUAAUGUAUAUUGAGGAACUGUGUUUAGCCCAUUUGACUCUGUUCUAUCAUUAACAAAAUGGUUGCCGAUUAUAUAAUUUGUGUUUGGUGGUAAACGGAUGGUUGCCGAUUAUAUACUUUGUGUUGGGAUGGUAAUCGGAUUUUUAAUUUAUGAUUAAUGUAUAUUGAUGAACUGUGUUUGCCCAUUUGGCUAUGUUCUAUCAUAAAAGAGAGAGUUGCUCAUUAUAUUCAUUGUGUUGUAUGGUCAUUAGAUUUUGAAUUCAUGACUAAUGUAUAUUGAUGAACUUAUUUUAGCCCAUUUGUUAAAUGACUUAACGUUGUGUAAUAAGAAGUUUGUUUGUUUCAAGUAUACUGUAUUAGGCCUCUGUUCACAGGGCAUCCACAUCUGCAUUUUAAACAUAUACUUUAUAUCAUAUGUAUUUGUAUAUUGACAUUUAUGUGAAGCUGUGACCAAUUUCUGCCAACCAUUAAUUUAAACGAAAUUAGAUACUAAUUGCUUGCUAUAGUAAAAUUAUUGAUAGUAAAAGUAAUGUAUUCAUACAACUGUCUUGGGUUGUUCUUUUUAGUAUUAUUAUUUCUGUGCCAAGCUAUCUUCAGUAAUGUGUUUUUAAUGAUUACCAUUCAAAACCUGUUACUGAAGGAGCUCUUAUCCUGUUGUAAGGGCCCGCUUUAGCUAAUGUCUUGUUGGUAUAUUAAUAUACUUGUUGCGAUUUAAUCUCCUUUUGGGUCCUUUCAGUUUUGCACAUGGAAGAAGAAGGUCGUUUGCAAAUAGAUGCGAGGGUUGAUUUUGCUUCUUAUCGAAGGAAUCCUCGAUUGUUUAUACUUGCUGAUGUUUAAUAUCCCACCCUCCACUCCCCUUAUUUUGCUUGUGUUCUCCUUUUUCUUUAUAAUUUCAGGUACAUCUUAUGUGUUCAAGUUCAGCCUACACCUUCCUUCCCUUCAGUCGUUACAGCUUCACAUGGAAUAUUGGCAGUUUUCACAUGUUGAUGUAUGGACAUGACAGUGUCUGUUUUCCAGAACUGUGAAAUGUGUAUGUGUCAUAUAUAAACGUUUAACGUAGUCACUGAUUCUGUAUGUCUGUUUUUUGUAUACCUGAUCUCCGCUGAAUUCUGAUCCCAGGUUCGGCGGUUAGGUCAGCCUCCACCAGUAUAUCUUAACGUUGUGUAAUAAGAAGUUUGUUUGUUUCAAGUAUACUGUAUUAGGCCUCUGUUCACAGGGCCUCCACAUCUGCAUUUUAAACAUAUACUUUAUAUCAUAUGUAUUUGUAUAUUGACAUUUAUGUGAAGCUGUGACCAAUUUCUGCCAACCAUUAAUUUAAACGAAAUUAGAUACUAAUUGCUUGCUAUAGUAAAAUUAUUGAUAGUAAAAGUAAUGUAUUCAUACAA